rnacentral:lncRNA from 1 species
CUAGGUGGUAUGAGAUCGCUGAAAAAUGAAACUUUCCGUCAACUGCUUUUUGAAGGGCCCACGUGAAGCCUCUCUUUAGGCAGGAUGUUGAGAGAGAGCCUACUCUCUGCUCUUCUUCUCAGCUAGCAGACUGCUCACCGGCUUGGAGAGAGAGAGUUAAAGGUAUAAAGUAGGAUUUCCCAUUCUCAGAACAAGUUGAGCAGCAGAUAAGCCAGGAGGUUCCUCCCCCAUAUUCCAGUUUAAUUAAUAAUAUGUGAAAGGGAAAUAGAAGCAUUUUACUCAGCAUUAAACCACUGCAUAAUUGAAACCGGCUUCCUCACAGCAAGGAUUUUUGCUGCUGACAUUUGUUCUUCAUCCUCCUGUUAUUUUAAGUAAAUAAUUUUCACAUCGAACUACCUCAGCUACCGUUUUAUUUCAAAAGGUGAAACCAUGCACUUUGUAACCAACAAGUUUUUCAUUUAAAAUUCCAAAAAGAUACACUCGGUGCAAAGCAAUUUUCAAAAAAAUUUGUACAUGACAUAAGCAACCCAACCUCAAGAGGUUGUCCUACAUUUUGUUUCUAA